rnacentral:antisense_RNA from 1 species
AGGCGCCCUGGAGCUCCCCGCGCGUGUUGUGACCCAGAAUUCCCGGGGCUGUGGAAGAGACCAUAGACUCAACAGGAGGGGGAGUCCUGGGUAGCGCGCCGGUCUACAUCGUUACUUGGCGGAAAGUUCCCAUGAGUCUUUGCCAGCGUCCCCCUCCUUUUGUGAGGAAUGGGAUAUUCCGACUCCUUAAGGGCCAGGCGCACAUAAGGGCCACAUCUGCCAGAGCCUGGAGUCUGCGAAGGCCGGGACCCGGUUCCCCGGCCCACCGUGGGGGGGGGUGUGCAAACCCGAGAGAACUGGGUUGCAAAUUCGUGAAGAAUCAGCAUCAUGUUUGGCAGCUGAGUAUUGGAGCCAGGAGCCUGCCAUGAGGUUUUGAGAACAGAGUGCUGUUUUAGAGCUGGCAGCAGCAUCUCAGCCCAAGAGAAGGCAUGACUCCACAGUUUCUGCAACAACAGAGCCGGGGAAAGGAGGACGCAGCAAGCGCUGAAUAUUAACCAGCAAAGGUAGAUGCUUCAAUAUCGAAACCACCGGGACCCGCAUGUGCAAAGCUACUUAAUGAGGGUGUAAUCAAACACAGU